UGAGCGGAAGCCUUUUAGGCGUCUAACUGUUAAUUAGAAGAAAGUAGGCUCUGACCUGCCCGCUCAG
rnacentral:tRNA from 1 species